rnacentral:rRNA from 1 species
AUGUUCCGAGCAGUGAAGCAUGUCGUCGUCGGGGCGACGGCGAAGAACAGCCGAGCAGAGCCAGCCUUGUCGGCCUUCGCGAGCCACUUCUCCGCGGCCUCCACCGCGCAGAGGUUGGUCAGGAAGGUGGCCAUGAUCACCGGCGGCGCCAGCGGGAUCGGCAAGGCGACGGCCGCGGAGUUCGUCAGGAACGGCGCCAAGGUCGUCCUCGCCGACGUCCAGGACGACCUGGGCCGCGCCGUGGUAGCCGAGCUCGGCGCGGACGCGGCGCGCUACACGCGCUGCGACGUGGCCGACGAGGCGCAGGUUGCCGCGGCCGUGGACCUGGCCGUCGCGCGGCACGGCCGCCUCGACGUCAUGUUCAACAACGCCGGCAUCAGCGGCGCCCUGACGCCCGUCCCUCUCGCCUCCCUGGACAUCGCGGACUUCGACCGCGUCAUGGCGGUCAACGCGCGGGCCAUGCUCGCCGGCGUGAAGCACGCGGCCCGCGUCAUGACGCCGCGCCGCAGAGGCAGCAUCAUCUGCACGGCCAGCACCGCGGGAGUGCUGGGCAGCGUGGCGCCGCACCCGUACAGCGUGUCCAAGGCCGCGGUGCUGGGGCUGGUGCGCGCCGUGGCAGGGGAGAUGGCGCGCUCCGGGGUGCGCGUGAACGCCAUCUCGCCCAGCUACAUCCCGACGCCGCUGGUGAUGCGCACCAUGGAGGAGUGGUACCCGAAGGCGACUUCCGAGGAGCGUCGGCGGAUCGUGGAGCAGGACGUCAACGAGAUGGAAGGGACGGUGCUGGAGGCGGAGGACGUGGCCAGGGCGGCGCUGUACCUGGCGUCCGACGAGGCCAAGUACGUGAACGGGCACAACCUCGUCGUCGACGGCGGGUACACGGUCGGAAAGCCGCCCAACAUGCCGGCGCCGGCGCAGUAA